AGCAAUUCUGAAUCAUCAGCUCAUGUCAUUUCUAAAGCCAAGUCCCCAUCCUUUGACUCAUCAAUUAUCAUAUAUUUUUACUCAUAGAUAUUCUCCCUAUCACUUUUUAAAGAUGCAAUUUAUGUCUACUUUCCAGUAAUCGUCAUAUUUUUAUCAAAGCUUUUAGCUACCAUUUGUUUUUGCCACCUAUGCACUUUUGGUGGUUUUACAGCAAGAAACUUCCAAAUAAUUUCUGGUGUCAUGGACUGCGUGGUUUCCCAUUGUUGCUCUAAUCUGCCCUUCUCACUUCAAACCUCUACUUCCUAAAAUGAGUCAAGGAUGGACUCUGAUGUUGUUGAAGGUGAGAAGCAGGGCAAAGAGAAACAGAAAAAAAGGGGAGCUGACUGAGACGUGAACGAGCUGGGGAAGUCCAGGUUGAACAUGCACUUAUGAGAGAGUGGUUAACCUGAGAUACAGGCAAGGUUGCAAUGGAGGAGGAGGAAGAGGAGAAAACCAGAAAGGAAAUGAGCAAAGAUCUAUGCAGUUGCAUCCUGUUGCCUUCUGUGUUUAUGAUUCUCAUGUUCGGCUGUUCCGCAAGCCGAAGGAAACGCAAUGCCAAAGCUGAAGUCAUCAGUUUUCUGUUAUUUUCUGUUUAAUACCUUAGUGUUUCAUCUAA
rnacentral:lncRNA from 1 species